AGAUGCAUUUCUAACCCUGUCUGUCAGGAUUUUAUUCAGCGGAUGCAAUGUCAAAAUUCUGUGUGACCCAUAACAAAAUAUUUACACUUUUAUGUCUCCAGUAGGACGCCUCAUGUGCCUACAUGAUAAAAUGUUGAAAGUAACAGCAAGGUACAAGAAGAAAGAGAUGCUUUAGCUCUGUGACAAGGCUGAGUUAUUCAGACAUUAAUUUCACAAUGUUUCAGACCUAAAAUUUUAAUUGCAAAAACGCUACCUACUCUACUGGGAUGGCAUGUGGCUCAGUAGGCUAAGUCUCUGUGCCUGUGAUUGGAAGAUCACUGCUUCAAGAACAGUCACAUGUUCGUGGGCCCUGGCGCACGGCCCCUACCCCUCAGCUCCAGGGGUGCUGCACACUGGCUGACCCUGGGCUGUGACCCACCCAGCUAUGGAGAGCAAAGGAUCCCAAUGUACUUGUGCAAAUGACAAAGACUGAUUUAUUUAUAAAGGUUCAUCAGUGGUGAUUUAUCAGAACGCUAACCUCAUCAUGUCUGCGCAGAUCUCUAAAAGGUACGCCCCAAUUUGGAAAAGCCGGAUUAUUUAUGACAUUUGCCUUCAGCGCUUUAACCUGAAGGUUGCCGGUUCAAACUGUGGCAGCAGCAGCACCCUUGGUCAAGGGACAUGACUUCUCCAUUAUAAUAUCCAUCACAUCCCAACAAGAUCAGCAGACAAAACUAGAAUUUCCUAAGCAUUAAAAUAAGCCAUAAGAUACUAGCAGAAGGAUAGGCUACAUGUUCCUCCAAGACCCUGCAUAGGGUAAGCUGUUAGAUGACUAAUGGGUAGAUGAUAAUAUAAAGUGCCUAAAUGCAUCUCUUAGCCAGAAACACUAUAUGAUAGCAUUCAUAAAGAUCUGUAUGAAGAGCUAAACACACAAUGGCGGAAUAGACAGGUCAGGUAUGGUGAUUUUGAUGAUUCAGAUGAUAUUGGAUACAGGAGCCUGGAUCGAGCCAUUGGAUCCUAUGUGAGUCUGUUGGGAGGCAGCUGAUGUUCUGUGAGCGGAGUAAAGUGUUUCUGUAGAGCAGGUGGCAGCGCAGGGAGCCAUGCACUGCUUGACAUGCUUUCGGAGGUCAGCAGCAUCAAAGUGCAUCACUGCAGGCCUGGAGGGGGGGGGGGGGGGUCUGCAUACAGCCUCAGCUCAGCAACUGCAGUUACUGCAUCAGACAAACAUGCCCAGCUAUACAUUCUUGUAUAAAGACACUGAAAUAUCUACAUAUGCAGCACUGCCGACUCUCAUGCAUCUGACGUGACACUCAGGCCAUUAGACUCUCACACGGACGCAAGACAUCUUACGGCAAAUCUAUAUUAUUCCACUAAAAACCUAAAAUUAGCUGCAUCAAAAGUGUUGGAUAGUUUUCAAACCCUGCAGUCUAUUUACAAGGUAAUAACACUAUUACAUACAUGUGUACAUACAUGCCUGUGUAUGUGUAUGUAGACUUGUCUCGAAUUGAAAAUCUCACUCCAACCAGCUGGCAGUCCUGAAUGUUUUACAUGAGAGAGGGAUGUGAAAAACUAACCUUACGGUUACAAGAUUGUAUCUUCAGUUGCUAUGAGGACAUUUGUGCCCUUGGGUAAGGUGCCCAUUAGCUUAACUAUCAGAUGGGAAUCUGCUUCUUAAAAUAAUACACCUGAAUGAUAACUGUAUCGAACACUUUCAUAGUUUGUCAAAACUUGUAGUCCUGUGGAGCAAAUAUAAUUAAUCCUAACAAAUAAUAUAUAAGAUAAUAUAACUUAACAAAUAUUUAAUUUUGUUUGGCAAUCCAUUACAUAGCAAGUGUGGUUCUACCCAUUAUGGGGUGACCAAAAGAAUGAAAAGCAACAGUAAAUAAUACUUAUAUUUAAAUGUAUUUAUGAUGUUGAAUGUGGGUACUGCCAAGAUCCCUGCAUUGAUCCCCAAAUUGACCUAGAACCUGAGAUUUGAUUUCCGAAGCCUGAGAAAGCAUUGGGACACACUCUGCUGUUUUGAAUUUAAACCAAAUUGAAUGCCUAGUCGAGCAUCAGCUGGCAGUAAUGAUUACGUGGCUGCAUAUAUACAAAACAUCAAUAAUGCAUGGCUGGGGUGUGACACUUCACCCCUCAAAAUUCAGCGCUUCCUAACCUUCCUCUUUGAGGUUCCAGUGUUUAUGGUGCCUUAUACUGUAAGAACUUUGUACACAUAAUCGGUGCCGUGAGGAGUCACUCUGAGGACAGAGAAGAUCAUCAGUGGAAAAAUAUAUGUGGCAGGAAGCAGAGAGGAAUUGUUUUGUGUGCCAUCUUUUUUUUCACUCCCAAGGUGGGCUGUGUCCUGCGGAGGGAAGGACAGGCUGGUUCAGGGAGGCUCGCUUUUCACCAUUCUGCUCAAGUGAAUCUGACAGAUGCUCUGGACAAAACCGCAAAUAUACAGUCUUCUGUUAUGGAGCCAUGGAAAAAAAAUGACUGGUGGAACGCAAGAUAAAUCUGAAGUGUGAGACAAACAUUUACAGUUCUUUUUCCUGGAAGAACGCCAAGACUUUUGGCAAAAUAUGGCUGCAAAAAUGAACAAAUAAAUAAAUAAUCAAAUAGAGGGUGGUUGUUUUAAGUUUGAGGUAAAAACACUAAAAUGUAGAUGUUGCUGCUGAGACGUCUAGAUGCUACAGAGAAGCGAGCAGUGACAGACCUUCAGAACAGCUGGAAGGUGAUCUUGACCAGCUGUAAGGAUUAUUCUCGUGGAGCACCUUGGAAUUGGGGAACGAGUCCUUAACUGUGUAACACUAUAUUACAGAAGCUUAAGAGAGGCGAACAUAGCCCCAGGGUUACAAAGUGCUGUAGAAUAAAACGAGCAGAAGAAUAUCCCGCAACGAGAUUGGUAAUAGGUUCUCUUCAGAUUUCUGAGGGUGCACUGUGUUGGCAAAAGCCACUCUCCUAACCGUGGGCCACUAUGCUCGCCUGGCAGAUGUUUGGAAAGGGAGAAGAUGCGCAAAGAUGCCGAACUAAGCUAUCUGUCUUACAUCUCAGCGCUGAUUGGAUGCCAAAAAGUCAUUCCUGAUGGGGGAAGGAGAACAAAAAAGCACAUGUUUUUAUGAUAAUUAAAUCCUAGGACUGAUGAAAAGAGACAGGGAACCUUAGCGGGUGAAUAUGCGUGAAUAUGCGUGAAUAUGCGGGCCACGCGUCACUGCACAACUGCCCGUCGCACUGUCAGAUAUGGCUACGUCACAUGCUAAAGUUCUUUCUGUUUACCAUCGUUUAUCGUCAUUGUUGCUGUUUUUCUCGUCUUAUUUCUUGAUUAAAAUAUGGCUUGCGUAACUGCAAGCGGGCUGAUUGUUCUUGCUGUCACGGCAGGGUAAUGGAUUUACAUACCCUGCCCCCCUAAAGGAGUCACUUUGAUUUACCUGAGUUGUACAGCAGACCCAGAGGACAUUGAAAUUCCAGCAAACAGGCACCACGUAUAGCAGUCAUAAAUAAUAAAGGAAAUGUGUUUAACGGCUAAAUUGAAUUGGACUUUGCGUACUGGCGACAGUAUCAGCGGAUCUGUGAACCGCAUGAGAACAAGGAUUUAUUUUACACUAAUUAUCUUUUCUUCACAUGUCAUUAUCAAAAAGGUAAAAUUGUUUAAUUCUUUUUGUUGAAGUUCAAAGUUGGUUUUCAACUUAAAGAAACAAUAUUUUCAAUUCUACAAAGCUGAUCUAUAUACUGUAAUGAUAGUCAUUAUUACAAAAUCUGCAUAGCUGUGCGUGAUAAGUGGAAAGGAGCUGAAAUAUGAAUAAGUAUGUUGGUGCAGGACAGUUUUAUUAUUAUAUAAAACCAAUAUGUCAAGGCGGAUGGUAGAGUUUGAGGGCAGGAUGUCACCUUGAAAUACUAGGAAAAGGGUUUCUGUAUGGCUCUGGUUUUUAUUUCAGCCCUGGGGGGGCGGCGGGGGGUGGUGGAUGAGGCGGGCUGAAUCUGUCCAUAAUUCACUAGCACCGGUGUAAUUUAUUCCUAGGCUAAUUCGCAUCUUCCUGCACGAUUCCCGCAUCCUCAGGCAGAGCGAUAAUGUCGUGUAGCCUUUCGGAGCCCGAUUGGCUAUCGAGUGUCUUUGGGGCGUCCAACCCCAAUGGCCCAAACGAGGUCUGCAUUUAAAAAGCAGUGUAGAGAAAUAAAGAAGAAGCAAUCAAUUUCUCGAGGCCUUACUGGUUAUGCUCCUAAUCGAAUGGAUUAACAUACCCUUUCCCCUAAAACCACAUAUGAUAAUAUGUUGUUUGAUUACCAUCAGGCAAUGUCAUAUGUAUUCAAGGUGGGCUACUGUAUGCACCCUGAGCAGGAACUUAUCGCUUUCUCUUUUUAAAUUCACUUUCCAGCAUCACCAAGAUUUUUUUCCCAGUUUGUCUUGCCUGAGGACAAUAGAAUAUAGGGAGUCUGCAAAUCUUGCAAAAGACUGUUUAUGAUCUUACUGAAAACAUCUGCUGCAUAUAUUUCCAAUGGUCAUCUCUUAGUCAAUGUUCCGUAUUUUAAGGUAUUUCUACAUGGUGAUGUUAACACUGAACAUUAUAUAAAAUGCUAAAUGCAAAUGCCGCUUAACAAUAACAAUAAACAAACAAGGCAAACAGACAAACAGUCUGGCGUGUUAUCUUUCUACAAGAACAUAAGGGUGAUCCAGGUUUUGGGUGAAUUUCUAUUUAAGGAUUUCAAGUCACAUGAUAAACAGCCAUUUUGAAAGUCUUCGGUUCUCAUUACUUUGUAGUUUGUCUACUAGUUACCCAGAAACACGCGCUGUCUUUUGCUCCUCUUCACUGCCUGCAAAUAAUAAUGAUAAAAAUGAUCCCGUGUCUUUAUUACUUAUCUGAUCCUUGCUAUUACAGAUUACAGCUAUUGCAAUAAUUUAUUUUUCCCAAGGGGAUCACACACCACCCGGUGCAUACAGCAGUAAGGAGCUCUAACGCUAAUCACCGGAUCUUUUCAUAAAGGAAAAUGGCUGAUAUCACCGGUAAGUUUUCUUGUGGGUAAAAGCCAGCGUGCGGUGCAAGUGUCGGCGCCGGAGCGUGUGUCGAUUUGCCCGGACGGAAGUCGGAAGAGCGAGCGCAGACUCAUCCAUCAGGCUGUACAAAUGUCAGAGCGCGCGGAGACGCACCCAUCUCGCGCCGCCGUCCCCCUUACGGAUCAAGCUCGCCCGGCUUACGCGGCGUCACUGACAUUUACCCGUCCGGUUCAAUAAUUAUAUUCUUGCGCGUUUCUUCUCUCCUGACAAGCUCUUCACGCCGGAUCACAGUCGUUUGUAUCAAAUAAAAAACAUGACGAUGAAGAUGAUGAUGGUGAUGGGGGGUGGGCUAGCUGACAAUAUCCCCAGCAUUGUUUAGUAGGUAGAAGGCAGCACGGUGGAAUCAAAUUUGAAACUUUCUUAGGCAUGUAUGUCUACAUUUUACUGCAUUAUAUAUUAUUUCCCUUUGCAAGUUAUACAAAACCUUUAUGUUCCUCUGAGCUACAGGAACAUUUUAAGACAGCUGCAGAUUUAUGAUGGCCCAAUUUAAUUCAACAGUGCAAACACCAAAUUACAAACAGAAAUGUUCUUCACAGACACUGUCAGGUAGCAUAACUGAAACGCAGAAGGAGAGCUGUACUGGUUUGUCUUUGCAUAUUCUGAAUAGCUUAUAUCUAGCUAUGUGAACUGACAAAGUUAAAUUAUGUAAGUCAUUUUGUACAACAGUCCUUUUGCUAAUUAAUUUUUAUAGAUGCUCAAGAUUCCCAAGAUGGAUGCUGAGGGGCAGCUAUAAAAGUGCAACUUGUACCAGCCUCAGUGCGUUGAAAAACAAUAUAAAUCACGGCCAAAAAAAGAUUAUUACAGGCACCUGAUGUUGAAGUGCAUUAAGGGCUCAUUUCCAAGUCUGAGACUACAUCACGAUUUUAUUGUGGUCAUUACAGGUAGAGGACACCUGGAAUAGAUGCUGAUUGGCUGAAUUUUGGGCAGGGGAGGGAGAUUUUAAAUGUGAAAAAUGUGUUUUGGUGAUAAAGUCUGUUAAUAAUAAUGUAUGAUUUUGGUAUUAGUAUUGUACUGUAUUGUACUGACUGUUCUUGUAUUGUGGGAGAUGUGUUUAUUCCUCGGUGGGGAGGAUUGGGGGCCCUUUUUUGGGGUGGUGUUUGGCCCUGUGGGUUAGGACUCUGCCGGUCAUGAGUUGGCUGUUGGUUCAGAUCCUGUGAUGGACUGCUCCUCCUCGCUCAACUGUGCGUCACUUUGGAUAAGAGCAUUUGCUAAAUAAAUGCAAUAAAAUCUUGACGUUGCGGGGCCUGCGUUUGCUGCGUUACUUUGGCAUUAGUGUGUGCAUUCACGUUCAUGUUCACGUUCACGUUCACGUUCACGUUCAUGUUCACUUCACCUGUUCGCGUGCGUAUUAACAGCCGGCGGUUUCCGCUGAUCACUUCCUAUCCGCUCAUCUCGCCGUUCUUGCUGACUGACACAUUCUGUUGUUAAUGUUCUCCCAAAAUGGGCAGAAGUUCUGCUCCUUUCAUGUUCAUGUUCAUCUUAUCGAUGCAAUGGUAGCAGUUUCAUUCUAGGCCUGGGAGGUAAGUAGGCUUAGGACCCGGUUGGGGUUAAAGGUGCGGACUGGCGACGAUCCAGACGAGUCCUCAGGGAAUUCUGCUUCUGAGAAAAUGCUCUUUAUAAGUGUACAUCAUGUCAUUGAAGAAGCCAGCUGUGUAAAUGGGUAACGCUGUAAGAUAAAAGCGUCGUCCAAGCAAAUAACCAACAAUAAAUAAUUUACUGUCUACUUGAGUUCCCCUCAUCGGCCCACUUUUCUUCCAAAGCGGGAGCAGAAUCGCUUCUCAUCUCACUGUUGACAAUGCCGCCUUGCCCUACCCGUUGGGGGGGGGGGAUUGUCACCGCUAAGAAAGGUUUGGUGGCUCGUGAAUCUCCACUGUCAAAAGAUUCCGAAGAACACAGGCGGAGAGGGAUGCGGCGGUGGAGCAGCCACACGUGUGCAGGACGCUCCGGCCGGCCGGCCCUCUGUCCCUUCCUGCGCUUUGGAUGGGGACGCGGAGCCAAAGAUCUCGGUGAUCGUUCCGGAAAGCUCUCACAGAGCGAAACUGCUGUGUGCCUGUGCGCCUUCAUGCGGCUGUUAUUCUCAUGAAUAAUCAGUCGUGAAAGAAUUUACUGCAUUUUUAACAAUUGUAAUUACUCUGAUGUCAUGACAAUUUACCCAUGUUAUAUAUGUUUGUUUCUGAGCAGAUGUACCUGCAUGUAGGAUUAGUAACAGGUGGAACAAGCUGAAAUGCUGUAAUACAAAUAUAUUCAGACAAACCUA